CAAGGCGUCAGCAGAUGCAGUGUCUGGUGAGGGACCCGCUUCUUUGUUCAUAGACGGCUGUCUUCUCACUGUGUCCUCACAGGGCAGAAGGGACAAGGCACCUCUGUGGGGUCUUUCUGCGCCCCACGACUUAUGGGAUCUCAGUUCCCCUACCAGGGAUUGAACCCUGGCCAUGGCAGUGAAAGCCCGGAAUCCUAACCACUAGGCCACCAGGGAACUCCCCUGAUGACCUUUCUUUGACCUUGACCUUCUUGGGGCUUACCAGCUCCUGGAAACCUGUAAUCUUCAUUUUGUCUCCAUAGAUUUGCCUAUUCUAGACAUUGUAUAUAAAUGGAAUCAUACAGUAUGUGGUCU